rnacentral:lncRNA from 1 species
UUAAUUAAAGAUUAAAAUAAUUUAAGAAUAUUGUGUGGAAUAACACAGGCCGCAUAUGGUAACGGUUUUGCUCAUUAUUGAAGGUUACAUACGGUUACCUUUAGAUGCUAAUACCAACGUUGUUUUACAGCUGAGUUGUCUCAUAGGCAAUCAUUCCGCAACUCCUAACACUAAAUAAUUAAAGAAAUCUUAUGUGGAAUCAAAUCGGCCGCAGGGGGAAAACAGUAAACGAGGCCUGGCAAGACGAUACAAACCGCCGGCAUUUUUAAUAUUGGCAAGUAGGUGUUCUUCUGGUUACAGAAGUAACAAAAGUUCCUCUAAGCAAAAUUAGAGUGAACGAGGAGCACGACCCCACACUGACGCUAGGCCAUAACUUGAAUAACGCUUCCUCGGUACUCGGAGGAUAAAAUUCAAAACUGGUAACAGUGAUGAACCGGCGUUUUUGAAAAUACGUAAUAAAUGCAAAUUCGAAAAAAAUAAACUGAGUAUGCAGUCUAUACAGGCUUUGUUGAAAUUGCAUAUGAAAAACGAAUUAAAACUUCUUUUACUACGGUCAGAUAUA